AGAGUUUGAUCCUGGCUCAGGACGAACGCUGGCGGCGUGCCUAAUACAUGCAAGUCGAACGCUUCUUUUUCCACCGGAGCUUGCUCCACCGGAAAAAGAGGAGUGGCGAACGGGUGAGUAACACGUGGGUAACCUGCCCAUCAGAAGGGGAUAACACUUGGAAACAGGUGCUAAUACCGUAUAACAAUCAAAACCGCAUGGUUUUGAUUUGAAAGGCGCUUUCGGGUGUCGCUGAUGGAUGGACCCGCGGUGCAUUAGCUAGUUGGUGAGGUAACGGCUCACCAAGGCCACGAUGCAUAGCCGACCUGAGAGGGUGAUCGGCCACAUUGGGACUGAGACACGGCCCAAACUCCUACGGGAGGCAGCAGUAGGGAAUCUUCGGCAAUGGACGAAAGUCUGACCGAGCAACGCCGCGUGAGUGAAGAAGGUUUUCGGAUCGUAAAACUCUGUUGUUAGAGAAGAACAAGGAUGAGAGUAACUGUUCAUCCCUUGACGGUAUCUAACCAGAAAGCCACGGCUAACUACGUGCCAGCAGCCGCGGUAAUACGUAGGUGGCAAGCGUUGUCCGGAUUUAUUGGGCGUAAAGCGAGCGCAGGCGGUUUCUUAAGUCUGAUGUGAAAGCCCCCGGCUCAACCGGGGAGGGUCAUUGGAAACUGGGAGACUUGAGUGCAGAAGAGGAGAGUGGAAUUCCAUGUGUAGCGGUGAAAUGCGUAGAUAUAUGGAGGAACACCAGUGGCGAAGGCGGCUCUCUGGUCUGUAACUGACGCUGAGGCUCGAAAGCGUGGGGAGCAAACAGGAUUAGAUACCCUGGUAGUCCACGCCGUAAACGAUGAGUGCUAAGUGUUGGAGGGUUUCCGCCCUUCAGUGCUGCAGCUAACGCAUUAAGCACUCCGCCUGGGGAGUACGACCGCAAGGUUGAAACUCAAAGGAAUUGACGGGGGCCCGCACAAGCGGUGGAGCAUGUGGUUUAAUUCGAAGCAACGCGAAGAACCUUACCAGGUCUUGACAUCCUUUGACCACUCUAGAGAUAGAGCUU
rnacentral:rRNA from 1 species